rnacentral:lncRNA from 13 species
AGUUCAGUUUGGCUCUUUCUUAAGAUUGUUAUUUUGCAGCCUGGGCAACACAGAAAAACUCUUUACGAAAAAUACAAAAAGUUAGCCAGGUGCCCUCAUGUGUACCUGCAGUCUAGCUACUCUGGAGGGUGAGAUCACCUGAGCUCAGCAGGUUGAGGCUGCAGUGAACCCUGAUUUUGUGACUGCACUCCAGCCUGGGUGACAGAGUGAGACCCUGUCUCAAAGAAAAAAUUAAAAAAUGAUGGCUAUUUUGUCUUUCAGCUGUUGGAUUAUCUCACUGGAUUCUGUGGAUUCCUUUGAUUGUGUUUCAACUUUCUCCUGCAUGCUGAUGACUUUCCCUGCCAUCCAGCUUUUGAAAUCUAUGCCUGCCAUUUCAGCCACGUUAGAAUGGUUAAGAACCAUUGCUGGGGAGCUAGUGGACUCAUCUGGAGGUCUUCAUUUAGCAAGACAUGUUGGCAAAAAGUUUUAACUUUCCAAGGAAAAACUUCAGGGAAUUCAGCUUGACAGGAUGAGUGCAGAAGAAUUCAUACUACCCUUAUAUGUGUUUCUACAGAAGCCCUUCCUGCUGGAGCAAGAGACCUAUAUGUUCAUAUGGCAGAAAAAAAGCAAUCUUAUUUCCUCUUGCUCUUCGGCACAGUCUCUGCUACUUCCAAGCCAUCUGGUUGUUAUUGGCAGGAACUACUUUCCCACCUAUGCAGAUGUCACCUUUGAAUUACUGGGAGCCCAUUGUUUCCUCCGGCAGUCCAUUUCAUCUUCAGGCUUCUUCUCCUGACCUCCUUCUACUCCACACAAGAGAUGCUAUAACCAAGUUUGAUAACUGACCAUGGAGAACAGAGGUUGCUUUACAUUUGUUGCAAGUAAUAUGGAAAAUAUCCAGGGGCAGCAAGGUACGGUCACGAUCAGUUAAAGUCUGGUAUAAAGAUAAACAUUGUGAUGGACUUCUCACUAAGGCUGUUCGCUUUCUAUAUGAUCAAUAAACACUGACUGACUUGUAGGAUGGUUGUUUAG